GCUCAGUUUCCAAGUUGUUGAGUUUGGUAUGCUUGGUCAUGUGUUUAGGUUCUCAGCUGGUUCAGUCUAGUGUGACCUACGAUAGCAAGGCAAUUGUGAUUAAUGACCAAAGGAGAAUCCUCUUCUCUGGUUCCAUUCAUUAUCCCAGAAGCACCCCUGAUAUGUGGGAAGAUCUGAUAAAUAAGGCGAAAGAUGGGGGAGUGGAUGUGAUUGAGACCUAUGUCUUCUGGAAUGUGCAUGAGCCUACUCAGGGAAAUUACAAUUUUGAAGGGAGAUAUGAUCUG
rnacentral:misc_RNA from 1 species